rnacentral:rRNA from 1 species
GAACGCUGGCGGCAUGCCUAACACAUGCAAGUCGACCGAACCCUUCGGGGUUAGUGGCGCACGGGUGCGUAACGCGUGGGAAUCUGCCCUUUGCUUCGGAAUAACUCAGGGAAACUUGUGCUAAUACCGGAUGAUGUCUUCGGACCAAAGAUUUAUCGGCAAGGGAUGAGCCCGCGUAGGAUUAGGUAGUUGGUGGGGUAAAGGCCUACCAAGCCGACGAUCCUUAGCUGGUCUGAGAGGAUGAUCAGCCACACUGGGACUGAGACACGGCCCAGACUCCUACGGGAGGCAGCAGUGGGGAAUAUUGGACAAUGGGCGCAAGCCUGAUCCAGCAAUGCCGCGUGAGUGAUGAAGGCCCUCGGGUCGUAAAGCUCUUUUACCAGGGAUGAUAAUGACAGUACCUGGAGAAUAAGCUCCGGCUAACUCCGU